rnacentral:misc_RNA from 1 species
GUCUGAGAUACAUAACAGUUCUAAUGUAACAUAUGCUUCCACGAAUGACUCCAUUGUAGCUCCUCUCCCUGUGUAUGAAACAGCCAGAACGAUGUCUGAGACUGAAGUGCUCGAGAAAAGGUUCAACAUGUCGUGGAAAUUCGAAAUUCAUCCCGGUUUUGAGUAUUUGAUCAGAUUGCAUUUCUGUGAGCUGCUGUAUGAG